GUUUCAUUGGAACUUCUACUGCAUCACCAAUUCCGUAGUUCAGAUGUAUUUGCAACAUUCUAAUUCGAAGAAUUGAAGUAUACCGGUUUAUCGUGAUAGAGGCGAUCACUCUUCCUUAGUGUUUUCGACAUGACUGUACAAAGAUGAUUUGCUUAAGCUUUUCAUUUUA